UUGAACAUGCAGAUGAGAUUGUCAAACUCUGCCUGUCCUCCAACCUCGAAGUCACAAAUAGUCAUCGCUCACAUCUUCCAGUUCAACUUUUAUUGCAGGAUCCCAGUGCCUGGCAGAUCCGCACCCAUAUAGGGCAAAGAUGAACAGACAACAGGGGAUCAACAAAGAGGUGAAUAUUCCCAAACCUGAGAAGUUCAAGAGCAAAAGGAGACUGAGCAGCCCAAAUCCUGCAGCACCCCCCAGGUGCCCUCUCUGGCAGCUCAUCGUUCUGACUCUGGGAAUCCUUUGCCUUUCGUUACUGGCAGCAGUGGCUGUG